GAGUAAUGUCUGGGAAACUGCCUGAUGGAGGGGGAUAACUACUGGAAACGGUGGCUAAUACCGCAUAACGUCGCAAGACCAAAGAGGGGGACCUUCGGGCCUCUUGCCAUCAGAUGUGCCCAGAUGGGAUUAGCUUGUUGGUGAGGUAACGGCUCACCAAGGCGACGAUCCCUAGCUGGUCUGAGAGGAUGACCAGCCACACUGGAACUGAGACACGGUCCAGACUCCUACGGGAGGCAGCAGUGGGGAAUAUUGCACAAUGGGCGCAAGCCUGAUGCAGCCAUGCCGCGUGUAUGAAGAAGGCCUUCGGGUUGUAAAGUACUUUCAGCGGGGAGGAAGGUGUUGUGGUUAAUAACCGCAGCAAUUGACGUUACCCGCAGAAGAAGCACCGGCUAACUCCGUGCCAGCAGCCGCGGUAAUACGGAGGGUGCAAGCGUUAAUCGGAAUUACUGGGCGUAAAGCGCACGCAGGCGGUCUGUCAAGUCGGAUGUGAAAUCCCCGGGCUCAACCUGGGAACUGCAUUCGAAACUGGCAGGCUUGAGUCUUGUAGAGGGGGGUAGAAUUCCAGGUGUAGCGGUGAAAUGCGUAGAGAUCUGGAGGAAUACCGGUGGCGAAGGCGGCCCCCUGGACAAAGACUGACGCUC
rnacentral:rRNA from 2 species